CAGGCCUAACACAUGCAAGUCGAGCGGGCACUUUCGGGCAUAGUGGCGCACGGGUGCGUAACGCGUGGGAAUCUGCCCUUGGGUUCGGAAUAACCGUUGGAAACGACGGCUAAUACCGGAUGAUGACGUAAGUCCAAAGAUUUAUCGCCCAGGGAUGAGCCCGCGUAGGAUUAGCUAGUUGGUGGGGUAAAGGCCUACCAAGGCGACGAUCCUUAGCUGGUAUGAGAGGAUGAUCAGCCACACUGGGACUGAGACACGGCCCAGACUCCUACGGGAGGCAGCAGUGGGGAAUAUUGGACAAUGGGGGAAACCCUGAUCCAGCAAUGCCGCGUGAGUGAUGAAGGCCUUAGGGUUGUAAAGCGAUUUGACCCGGGAUGAUAAUGACAGGACCGGGAGAAGAAGCUCCGGCUAACUCCGUGCCAGCAGCCGCGG
rnacentral:rRNA from 1 species